AGCGAGGACAAACCCAAACUUUGUCUUCAACCUCUUCUGCAGUCGUAUCCAGCUGAGAACCCCAGAAAAUUCCCAAGGCCGAGAAAAACAAAGCCCACCGAUAUUAUCAAAACUAUCGUGUACCACUCAAAAAGAUUUCACCCAAUUCUCUGCCUGAAGCCGAGAUUCUAUUUGGGGGUCCAGUUGAGCUGAGGCCAGGUGAUUUCCGCAAAAAUCCCCUGCCUACCUCUAAUAAUACCCUUGGAUUGUUCUCCUGAAUUGGGGUUUUGAGAUAAGAGUCUUUGUAUGGCAGAGCUCUCUCUCAUGGCUUCUGCUGCUCUCUUUCCUGGGAUUUUCCAUCAGGACCAGGCCCUCUUUAGGCCACUACCCAAGGAGUUUCAAGCGUUGACACCCAGUCAUAGCAAAAGACAAAAUGAACUUAGUUUUGGUGGCGUACAGUUUGGGACACGUCAUAUUGAGGAACCAUGGAAAAUUUCAAGCCUGUUAUCAGAUAAUCAGAUAUUUAGGGAAAUGGCAGUUAUAGGUAGACAAGUCCUUGUUGACGUACAAGAUGCCCUUCCUGAAUCGGUGCUUUUCAGCUUUGGGGUUGCAGAGCAGUGCACUAGACAUGAAAAGAUCCUAAAAUUUCUCACGUCUAAUUCAAACAUAACAGAUGGAAAUGACCUGAAUAUUUCCUUGAUAUCUGACCUUAUGGGAUUUCAAGCUGUUGCUGUUGACAUCUGCCCACAAUCACAUAUUUCUGAGGACGAGGAAUUUUGCCCUUAUGAAAUUGGGACAGAAGUUUCACAGAAGAUCAUACAUCCUCAGAAGCAGAUUUACACUCCUAGAUCCUUUUUGGAUUUUGUUGGAAAUUUGUCCCAUACUCCAUCUAUUACAGUUCAUCCAAAUGGCCAUGUCAUGUUCUCAGGCAAUGCAGCUGAGAUGAAGGAUGUACUUUCAAUUGUUGCAGAGUUUAAUAUACCUAAGUGUCUGUCAGCUGGAGAUAGGAGGGCAAUGGUAGUUCCAUACUUCACCAGGAGACGUGGUGGACAUGCACGUGCAACCACUGAACUAUCUCCUUCAGUCUCUCAGACUCAGACAGUUGGUCCUUCAAAGAGCCCUGGGAAGACCAAGACAAUGCAUAAGAAGAAACAAAGCAGAAACCCAGACAGCGAGAGGUUCAGCAAGAAUUAUUUCUACGCCUGCGAUUGUCUCUUCAAUAUGUAUCUUGAUAAGACUGGAAACAAAAUGAUAAUCCUCUCCUUAAAGGAUUCGGGCCCAGAAUUAACCCAGCUCUUGUCCCAAUUCUCUGCUGUCAUCGUUGGAACUGGCCUUGCUGUUCUUUUCUCAGUUGCUCUCAAAGCAAUGAAUGGAACUGCAGCACUUCUUACUUCUUCCAAGCUGUUCAGUGUUAGUUUCGGCAUUGGUCUAUUUUGGCUAUCAAGGGCUGUGAGCAGUUUGAGAGAUACAAUUUACAGCUUCAGUAAGAGAUCGGGCAGAGGCAAGAAGCUAAUUGAGGAGGCUGCAGUAGUGGAGAAUGUCAGGACGAGCAUCAAUGAGAUUCUCUUCAGAUUUGUGGCGAUGAUGGCCGUGGGAAUAUUGAGCUUUUGAUAAUUUAAGCGAUAAAAUUGGAAAGCCAACGGUAACAUGAACUUUUCUCUUCCUAAGGUGAUUGUUGUCUGGUUUAGAUAGUGGGAUUGUUUAUAGAGGAAGAAAAGUAUCUAUGUCACUACAUCCAGCAAUUCUUCAGUAGAUUAUUACGAUGAAUUAUAUAAAAGAAGGGCGAGUAAUUGUUCUUACAAGUAGAUUACGUCUUGCAUUUCUUUCAGAGCAUGAAGUGUAGAAAUCAAGGAUUUAGAACUUAGGAGGAGAUCUCCCCAUUUUAUAGUAGUUCUCCCAGGAUUCCAUCUGAGAUACUUAUUUCUUUCUAUUAAGACCGCUAUAAUUUUCAUGUAUCAUGCUUUUUAUGUUAUCCAAGUAAUGUUAAUAUUUUAGUUAGUACUGGGUUGAGUUGGUUCUUUCAGAUAUCAACAUUUCUGCUUACAUGUUCAUGACAGAUAUCAAUCAUCCAGGAAAGUUAUGAUUGACAUAGAAUAUAUUCCUAUGAUAUUUUAAUAUUCGGAUCAUUAUAGAUCCUAGUACUAGACCUCGUAGGAAAUGAAUUAUUGGAGGAUAUAUGUUUUGGCAAAUGACCAUGCAAAUAUCUUCAAUACACUGACAUUUGAUAUAUGCAAGUAUCACACACCAUGAAAACAAGAUCAUCAUAUGUCAAUCGUAUACGGUACCUCUUCAUUCAGCCAAAAUCGUAAGAUCUACUGGAUGUAGUUCCUGUGUGUCAUCGACAAGCUUCAAGGUAAGUAGAAACUAGAAAGAUUUGGUAUUUUAUCAGGCUGAUAACCUACUGGUUAAUGUUAAUCAAUGGUUCUGCUGUAGACACUUCCAUUAAAGAUUUUUUUUUUUUGAUUUAAGCAAUGUGAAUGAUGAACUGAAUGAUUACCAACUU